UACGGAGGGGGCUAGCGUUGUUCGGAAUCAUUGGGCGUAAAGGGCGCGUAGGCGGCCGAUCAAGUCGGAGGUGAAAUCCCUCGGCUCAACUGAGGAAUUGCCUUCGAUACUGUUCGGCUUGAGUCCUGGAGAGGGUAGCGGAAUUCCCGGUGUAGCGGUGAAAUGCGUAGAGACCGGGAAGAACACCAGUGGCGAAGGCGGCUACCUGGACAGGUACUGACGCUGAAGCGCGAAAGCUAGGGGAGCAGACAGG
rnacentral:rRNA from 1 species